rnacentral:rRNA from 1 species
GACGAACGCUGGCGGCGUGCUUAACACAUGCAAGUGGAGCGACGAACCAGGCUUCGGCCUGGGGCAAAGCCGCGAACGGGUGAGUAACACGUGGGUAACCUGCCCCGAUGACCGGGACAACCCGAGGAAACUCGGGCUAAUACCGGAUGUGCUCGUGAGCCGCCAGGCUCACGAGGAAAGGUAGCUUCGGCCUCCGCAUCGGGAUGGGCCCGCGGCCCAUUAGCUUGUUGGUGAGGUAACGGCUCACCAAGGCCGCGAUGGGUAGCUGGUCUGAGAG